AUGCACGGCGGCGCCAAGGCCGACGGGAGUGCUCUGGGCGGCAUCCUCUAUGGCGCGCUGGCCACCCACGGUGUGUGGAGGGGCGCGGAAAUUGCCCCGGGCAACGCCACCAGCGGCAUGCUGACCACGUCCAGUGGCACCCUGGCCAUGUGCAGUGGCGCUCCGGCCGCGUCCAGCAAUGCCCAGACUGUGUCCAACGACGGCAUGGCGGCGACGGGCAAGGAGGCAGUCCCGACGGUUGUUCUCACUGAUGAGGCGGAGGAAGAAGGAAGUGAGGGGCAAUAUCUAACCGACGGAGAGUUCUCCUUUCCUUCUCUCUUUGUACUUUUCGCUCUGUCUAGUAGGCAGUGCUGA
rnacentral:rRNA from 1 species